rnacentral:rRNA from 1 species
AACGAACGCUGGCGGCGUGGAUAAGACAUGCAAGUCGAACGCUGAUUUCAGGGUAGCAAUAUUCUGGAGUCGGAGUGGCGCAAGGGUGCGUAACACGUGGGUAAUUUGCCGUGAAGUUGGGGAUAACUCGCUGAAAGGCGAGCUAAUACCGAUGUGAUCAUUGGAAGGCAUCUUCUGAUGAUUGAUGUUGGGGACCGCAAGGCCUGACGCUUCACGAUAAGCCCGCGGCCUAUCAGCUAGUUGGUGAGGUAACGGCCCACCAAGGCUUAGACGGGUAGCUGGUCUGAGAGGACGACCAGCCACACUGGAACUGAGACACGGUCCAGACACCUACGGGU